UUCAUUCAACUAUUUCAUUAAUGUGGAGGUAAGCAGCAGGGCCUAGAAGUAGAGAGAGGGGCGCCUGGUUGGCUCAGUUGGUGGAACAUGCGACUUCUGAUCUCAGGGUCAUGAGUUGGAGCCCCAUGUUGGAUGUGGAGCCUACUUAAAAAAAAAAAAAAGUAGAGAGGAGAAUUGAUUUAAGCUAGAGACAUUCCUAAUGGUGUUCUUUUCCCUACAGAUAAAGAAGAUAAUGAAAGCCAAUGAAAAGGUUACAAGUGACGCUGACCCCAUGUGGUACUUGAAGUAAGGAAUCAACUACUCUUGAUUUGCUACUUUGAUUACGUCUAACAUUUUUUAAAGUGAAUGUGGUUGUUACCAAAACUCUAUGAAAAUAACUCUCCUUAUCUGUUUAAUAAGGAGGUAAUUAUCAAGUGCUCAGUUUUGAAUCAGUAAACUAAUUAUAACAAGUAGAGUUAUGGUUGAGAAGUACUGAAAUUAUUAAGGUUUAAACAUUUUUUAGAACAAUAUUGAACGGCAAGAAAAAUUACUGAAGUAAUACAGAGUUCCAUAUUAUCCUGCGCGCAACCUAUGCUGAUAUUAACAUCAUACAGAAUCAUACCAUAAUUAGCAAACCCAGGAAAUUAGCACUGAUAAUAAUACUGUCAACUAAUCUGCAUGUCUUAUUUCCAGUUUUCCCGCUCAAGUCUUUUUUUCAGGCCCAGGAUUCCGUCCAGGGCUCUGCGUGAUGAUUAGUUUUCAGGUCUCUCCUUAGUCUCCCCAAGCCUGUGACUGUUCCUCACACUUCCUUGGUCUUUUAUCACCUUGUCACUNNNNNNNNNNNNNNNNNNNNNNNNNNNNNNNNNNNNNNNNNNNNNNNNNNNNNNGAGUUCCAUAUUAUCCUGCGCGCAACCUAUGCUGAUAUUAACAUCAUACAGAAUCAUACCAUAAUUAGCAAACCCAGGAAAUUAGCACUGAUAAUAAUACUGUCAACUAAUCUGCAUGUCUUAUUUCCAGUUUUCCCGCUCAAGUCUUUUUUUCAGGCCCAGGAUUCCGUCCAGGGCUCUGCGUGAUGAUUAGUUUUCAGGUCUCUCCUUAGUCUCCCCAAGCCUGUGACUGUUCCUCACACUUCCUUGGUCUUUUAUCACCUUGUCACUUUUGAAGAAUUUUGAUCCAUCGUUUUGUAGGAAGCUCUUCAGUCUGAGUUUGUAUGAUGUUUGCUCAUGAUUCGAUUGGGUUGUGCAUUUUUGGCACAGAAGUAACGUUUCGUGCCAUUCUCACUGCAUCAUAUCAGGGUACAGGUGUCAGUAUAUCUUACUAUUGGUGGUUUUAACUUUUCACUUGAUUAAGAUGGUAUAUGCAGGUUCAUCCACUAUAAAGUCACUAUUUUUCUUUUUGUAAUAAGUGCCUUAGGGGGAGAUCCUUUGAUUGAUACUAUGCAAAUACUUACUAACUUUAGCCUGCAAGGACAGGUCUUACAAGUUACUGCUGUGUAUUUGCCUGUUGGUGAGGCUUUCUUGCUAUCGUUCCUUAUCCAGUAAUACUGGAAUUCUGUUGUAAGGAAGAGCUUUUUCUUCCCUUUAUUUAUCUCUUUAUUUAUAUUAAUAUGAACUCUUGUAUGUUUUAAUCUAUGGAUCGUAAUCCAGCAGUAUCAUUUUAUUGCUUAACUUGUCCCAGCUUUGCCCAAGGGAGAGGCUUCAGGUUGAUUUCCAUGUCCUUUUGGCACACUGCUGCUCAUUUUCAAGCACUCCUUUACUUUAUGGCACCAUGAGAUGUGGUUGAUCUGGUAUUUUCCGUCUUAGCCUGGAAUCCACUAUUUUCCCAAGGAGCCCUAGUCUCUUUUUUUGGACAAUAGUGUUUAAAAACCAAGAUAGGGAUACUAAAGCCUUGGUAGGCAGAGUAAGGAAAUAAAUGUGUAUAUACUAACCUCUGCAUCCACACAUCAAUAUUUCUAUGUCUUACUCAUUUUUACAUAUAUUUUUAAAAUCCCACUGUACGAACACCUCCUGUUUCAGUCCACCUCUGAAGGACUCAUUCUAAUUAACCUCUUUCCUUAUUUGUAACUUCUAUGUCUAAAAUGAGAAACCUGGCUCUCAUUGACCACUCUAUUUUUACUUAUUUAUUCAAUCCUAGAAUAUACGUAGUUUCAGAAUAGCUAACUCAUAUCUCUGUGAGAAUAAAAUUUAAUUAGAGUACAAUAUCCGUGUAUUGCUUUUUUGUCUUUAUCUUUACAAUAUCCAAGCAACAUGCUGUUUCCAAAGCUACUUAGAUUUGUCAUUUCCUUUCUCACCUUCUCAGGGCAGUUACUUAUGCAUUUGUAAGGCAGGAAGGUUUGUUUUCCAUUUUGGGUCCCCUUCUGCAUCCUGGUAGGUUUUAAUUACGCAUUUAACUUUUGGAGUAUGUGAAACAUGGUUGUAAGAGUGAGAGCUAUAUAAAAAAGUAUUUUCGGGGAAUUGUCACUCCCUUCCCAGUUCUUUCCACACUGUUGCCAGACUCCCAGUAGGUAACCAAUCUCCUUAGUUUCUGUUUUCUUCCUGUGUUUCUUUUGCCAUAAUGAGCAUAUACAGAUGGUCCCUGACUUACAGUGCUUCAACGUAAGAAUUUUUCAACUUAACAAUGGUGUGAAAGCUAUACACAUUCAUAGAAGUUGUACUUUGAAUUUUGAAUUUUGAUCUUUUCCCAGGUUAGCAACAUGCAGUAGAAUCCCGUCUUGUGAUGCUGGGCGGCGACAGCCACAGCUCCCCAGUCGGCCCUGCAGUCACCAGGGUCAACAACGAUACAGUUACGAUCCUUCUGUUUUUCACUUUCUGUACAUAUUCAAUGAAUUCCAUGAGAUAUUUAACAUUGUAUUUUAAAACAGGCCCUGUGUUCUAUGAUUUUGCCCAAAUGUAAGCUAAUGUAAUUUUUCUGAGCACGUUUAAGAUAGGCUAAGCUAAGCUAUGAUGGUUGGUAGGUUAUGUAUAUUAAAUGAAUUUUCAGCUUAACAAACUUUUCAACUUAUGUUGGGUUUAUUGGGCUGUAGCCAGACUGUAGGUCAAGGAAGAGCUGUAUCUUUUUUCCUCUUAUAACCUCUUCUUUCUUAUAUGAAUAAUAACUCUUUUCAUUAAUAAUCAUCUUUAGGGAGCUAUCUUUCCAGUAUUUUUUAAAAAGAGAUUUAUAGCAAUUUCUUUAAAAAUACUCUGAUAGUAUUUUCCUUCCUUUGUAGAAAUGUACGUACUAUGACUUCAAGAUCUCCCAAUUAUAAUUUUUAAUUUGUCGUUCUUAGCAAGAUAAGUAUUUGUCAAAGUGUAAUCUUUGCAUUUGGGAGGAAAAUAGCUUGUUUAUAUGUUCGUUGAAAAGCUGUAACUGGUAAUGGAAUAAUUUGCUUUUCAGAUAUCUUAAUAUCUAUGUCGGGCUCCCUGAUGUUGAAGAAAGCUUCAAUGUAACUAGACCGGUAUCCCCGCAUGAGGUAAUUAUCUACCUUACCAUGAUUGAAUUUGUUUGCCUUAACUCAGAGUCUGUGCCCUUAAUAAUAUGUUCUUGAAAUGACUUUAAAAUAGGGGAAAAUAUCUCUUAUGAGACAAAGCUAACCAAAAUAAAUUAGCACUUGUAUAAUACUAUAUUAGGAAACAAUUCUGCAGUGUUUAGUUUUUCAUUUAAUCCUAGUUAAUCUGUGCUGUCAUAUAGGUAUGUCUCCUGUUCGUGUCCUGUUCUGAGCUUUUGGGCAGCCUUCCCCCUGCCCGCACUUGUUUCCUGCCCCAGCCAGCCACUUGUGCCUGGUACCAUGUGCUGUCCAUCUGCACAGGUGACUGAGCACAUGUUUUGAGGGUCAGCAAGCAUUGUGUUAGGCAGAGGAGACCAGGACAGGGGCUCACAGACCAUUAGAAGAGAUAGGUGGGUAGGAAGAAAAUUUAAUUACCAGGAUUUUAGCAGAGCUACAGACAAAGGUUGUGGAACAGGUCUGUUGGCUUUUAACACAUUCUACAUUCUUCUUGAAAUUCUUCCACUUGGUGUCCAUAAUUGGGAAUUGAUUCAGGAAAGAAAAUGAUUUUUGUAGAUUUAUCUAGUUUGUGUCGAUGUAGAACUAAAAUGUAAAGCAAUUAGGGAAAGUAGCAGAGUAAUCUUCAUUAAACAAGUAAGUUAGAAAGUUAGGGUUGUUGUCUGAGCAUUGUUAAACAGGAAGUACGAUCAAGUAACCAGAUAUUUCACACAGGUAAAUUUUGUUACUUAAUCACUGAGUUUCGAGUGUCAGUUGAACAUUUGUCUUGUGCCUCAGCAUUGAGAGAUAUACAAAAGAUAUGAGACCCUCUCCUUCCUCAAGGAGCACAUACACUUGUGGAGAGUGUAAACUAACAAAAUACUUGAAACAGACACCAGGGCUUGCACACUUGACUGCCUGGAAGGGUAAGAUAGGUACAGUAAGUGAAGUUGUGUUGAGGUUUGGAAUGUUGGAAAAUGUGUGCACCAGUAUGGCUUUCCCCGCUUCCCCAUUCCUUCUCCAUUUGCUGGAGUUUUCUAAUUAUUUUAGAACUAGGCAGCCAAUUAGCAAAUUCCACGUCCUUUUCUGAACUACAUCACUGAGCCUGAGAAGAGAGAAGGCAAAGUAGUUUGAAGUAGUUUGAGAAGCCUGAGGCUGCAGUUGUCAUAAUUUUUCUUCCUGAUGUUGGAGAAAACAUACGGGCAUUAUUGCAGUAAGAGAGAAAGGGCAUGAAGAUUCUCGGAGGGAUUUUGAUCCUUGGAGAGAUGGGGAGAGUCAGAGAGCAGGUGGGUGGGCAGCCAGGGCACCCACAGCAGGAGUGGGGGGGGGGGGCGCUGCUGCAGAGCCCCCAGCACAGCCCAGUCCUGUGAUAACAGAGAGGCUGAGGGUGGCAGAGGGAGCUCACGGGAGUAGUUUGGGGCCUGUGGAGAGGGUCCCUGUGUUUACCACAUCUGUUGAAUUUCAUUUCCAUUUGAAGGAGAGGAGUUUGUUAAAACACACACAUGUUUACCUAUCAUGGAUGUUACAUUAGAUUUUUAAUAAAAAUGAGAUUCUGUCUGUAAGGUAGCCUGUUCCAGGAACUAUUCUAAAAAUAUGUAUUUAUACCCUUGGGAAUUAAAAUGAUUCUCAUUCCCUUUGUACGUAGGAGGAGACCAAGGUGCAGAACUGAAGUGGUACAGCCAGUGUUUGGGCAUAGACGGCAGGGUGCACACUCUGAGCCUCUAGGCCACACCGCCUUUGGAGUGGCCUGAAGGAGACAGCUCAAUCUAAUUAAAUAUAAAAUACUCAUCAGUAAUAAGGGUAUCUAAUAUUUUUGGAUCUCAGGCAUUGGGAAAGAAAGGCAGAAAAAGUUUAAACCUAACUGUCUUUGGUUCACUUGAAGCCAGAGGGAGGAUUCAGUACCAUGAAUUGUAUGGUUGACGUUCAGAGAGAUUCUCUUUUUGAGAGUACAAGCCACCUGAUCACCAUCAGUAAAACAGGGAAGUCGUUGAAGAUUUGGUGGAGUGUGCCGUGUCUGACUAUGUGGUCACAGCUCAGAGAAGGGCUGAAGAUUUGGUGGGGUGUGCCAUGUCAGGGCAUUUAGUGAGUCAUCACCUUGUCAAACUAAGGCACACACCAGUAAUCUCCAGAGUUCCCCAAAUGAUUCAGAAAUUGUAAUAUGGUGUGAUGAACGAUUUGUGCUAUAAGAUACCACUUGUUAAGGAAUUUUGUGAACAGGGGUGCCUGGGUGGCUCAGUUGGUUGGGUGUCCGACUUUGGCUCAGGUCAUGAUCUCACCGUCCGUGGGUGUGAGCCCUGCAUUGGGCUCUGUGCUGACAGCUCAGAGCCUGGAACAUGCUUCAGAUUCUGUGUCUCCCUCUCUCUCUGCCCCUCCCCUGCUCAAGCUCUGUCUCUCUCAAAAAUAAAUAAAUACUAAAAAAAAUUUAAAAACAAAAGAAUUUUAUGAUACAGUUAGUUUCUGUAUGUGUAUACUUUAGGUAUCAUACUGGUUGUUAACCACAUUGGUAACUACAUUGAUUAAUUUCCAUGGACCCAGUUGUCAAGGAACAGUCUAACUGCUUCAAAGAUGGGGAGCAGACUGAUGAUGGCAUCAGAUAGUGAGAAGAAAGUCAGUACCAGAUUUAUUGUUCCAUUUUUGGGCUGUUAGGGCAGAGAUGCUGUGGGGAUGUCUAGAUCAGUGGCCAACAUCGUUCCUCAUGGAGAAGGUAGGCUCCUCACUCCCAGUGCCCUUAAGGCAACACAUGGAACAGACCCAGUUCAGCAUAGGCCAUACUGCUACCAGAGACGGAGUUCUUGGAAGCUUCAGGACUCUUUGAUUUCCAGGGAGAAAGAGCACUGACUGUCUGAUUCUCUUUCAGUGCCGUCUGCGGGACAUGACGUACUCUGCCCCCAUCACAGUGGAUAUUGAAUAUACCCGAGGCAGCCAAAGAAUCAUCCGUAAUGCCUUACCCAUUGGCAGGUGAGAAAUGACAUCUGAGUUAGAGCCACACUGCCUGCAUUCUAGCCCUGUGGGGUGACCUUGAGCAAGUACUACAGUUCCCUUUGCCCCAUUUCCUCAUGUGAAAAAUGCGGGAAAUGGUGUCUGCUCCAUGAGAGUCUUUUCUGGGGAUCCAGUGAGUCAGCCCAAGCAGAGCACUCGAACAGUGUCCAGUGCAAUGCUGUGGUUGUUGUUGUUUUUAAUUGUGAGGUCUUUUCCAUAAAGCUAAGGAAAAUCCUUUCAUUUCCUUCUGAAAUCCAGGCUGUUAGGGAACCAUUAGAUAAGAUAGCAUUUCAGUGAACCAGGCUGUUAGGGAACCAUUAGAUAAGAUAGCAUUUCCCUAUAACUAGGGAAAUAUACAGACUCAUCUGUAGAAAUGGGCAAAACCCACAAUAUUGGGAAUUUGAUAAUGGUGUCGGACUUUAAACUUCGUGCAAACCCUUCCUGGCCAAGUGUUUUUUUCACCCUUCAGAAAUGCUAAAGGCAUGAUAAAUAUCCACAGGUUCAGUGAAUAUGCACCAUUUGUUGGUCACUUGUGAUACACUCUGCUGGGUAGUCCAGUAAAUAGAAGAUACUUAGAUACAACUCCUAUUGGCUGUCUUCAUUCCCAGCUGCCCAGGAAGGCAGGCUUGAAUAGCUGUGGUACCAUUUGGUAUGUGCUGUGGUAGGUCCAGAGUAAUGGAAACACACAGGUUUAACAAAUCCUUCCCCCAUAGUGCCCUAAAGGAAGGGGCUCUUUGUGUUGUUUCUGUCCUCACUCUUCAGUUAGGGAAAUAAGUUGGGAUAUUAGAGUAUUAAUCUUUGUUUUAGCAGGACUGUUUAUCAGCGUUAAAACCUUUCCUCUUUCUCAUAUACAGACCAUAGUGUGUCCAGUUAAAUCUUGGAUCAUUAAUAAAUUAUUACCCAGAUUGAAUAUGGUGAAGGGAAGACUAGAGAGACAGGAACAAAGCAUAACUAGUACAAUUUAGGAUUUAAAUCACAGUUAAGAGGAGGCAAGGAAGGGCAUGCAUGUAACUAGUGUUUGGUGGACACCUGCCAUAUGCCGGACUCCGGGGUAGAAGAUAGCAUUUUUUGCAUUCCUUAAAGUGACCUUUGUGAAUUAGAGUGCUCAUAUGUUCCAUGCACUGUCUGCAUUACAGACAUUACCUUGUGUAAGUGUUGUGUGGGGUUUGUUUGAGCUAAAAAGAUUUCCAUUUAAUCCAAGUACAUCAAAUAGCACAUGAGAACAUUUGCCACAAAGCAACCCCCCAUCCCUCCUCCCCCAGUCUCAUUCCCAACCUCGUGACCAUUUCUCUUAUUCUGGUGGUCAUCCCAGCCAGAUCUUUAAACGCUGUGUUUAUACCUUUAUUUCUUGGUACGUCAACUUUAGACACUAUUUAUUACAAAUUCUGAAUUUCUCUGUUUUAGCCUGAAAAUAUCCUUAAGUGGACCUCUUUCUGAAUGGUGACUUCACAGAACGCACAAAUUAGCUUGAUGGGGACUUUCGACACUUUGCACAUGCCCCUCCGCUGUCCUCUGUAAAUUGCAGGUGUGCAGCUAUCUGUCCAGUCAUCUUCCCUUGUUGGCAAGCGGCCUUUUCUUCUCUCUGGCUUUUAAAUCUUUGUCUUUGAUGAUUGUAUCUUGACUGCUGUGUGUUUUGAUGUGGCUUUCCUUUUAUGUAUUCUGAGUAGAUAGGAUUGUGUGAGUUUAUGGCUUUCAUACAUUUUUGAAAGUCCAUAGCCACUAUGCUCUCUUUGAAUAGGACAUCUUGCCCAUUGUGUGUGUUUUCUCCAUCUAGAAUCUGAUUAGAUGCCUGUGAGACCUCUUCACUCUGUCCUUCCCUCUUAUGCUCUGUGAUACAUUUCUUCCCUCUGUCUUUCUGAAAUAUGUUCACAAUAAUUUCUUCAGCUCUCUUUUAAUUCAAUAAUUCUGUCUGCAGCAGUGGCAGAUCUGUUAUUCAGCCUAUUCAUAGAGUUUUGAAUUAAUAUUUUUCAUGUAGAAGUCGUGUUUAGUUCUUUCUUAAGAUUGCCUGGUAAGCCCUGAUAGUCUCUCGUUUCUUACUUUGAUUCAUUGUGGUAUUCCUGCGUAACAAAUGAGGGUCCCUUUGUUGACCAUGAGUGAAGAGUUGCUGCCGUUUCUGAAGACCAAAGUCUGUCUGCAAAGUUUAAGGAAAGCCAACAUUGGAGAUUUUGUUAUCUGAACUAGAAGAGCAAUUAUCUGAGGAAAUACUUCAUUUCACUUGGCUCUUGAUGUAACUACCCCUCCUCUGCCUUUUCUAAAAUGUGAAAGACGAAAGCAGACCCGUUGGUGACAUUUUGCCAGUGACAGUCUUUAUGUGAUAUUUUCUUUUACUUUCAACAGAAUGCCCAUAAUGCUGCGUAGUUCAAACUGUGUUCUUACAGGGAAGACGCCAGCAGAAUUUGCCAAACUGAAUGAAUGUCCUUUAGAUCCAGGUAUGUGUGAUUCCUUGGAUUGGCUCCUGCUCUCCCACCCUUUUUUGGGCUUGCUUUUGCUGUUGGCUUUAACAUUUUUUCUCAAAAACAAUACCCACCUGAACUUGGACAAAACUGUGUUCACGGAACGUCUGGAAAUUUGGCCCCAACUUUAUUCUAAGGUCAACAUUUCUAAAAGGAGUACUGUUUCCUCUUUGAUUGCAGGUUUGAAACUUUAACACUCCAACAUGUGUUUUAUUGUUACGGUUUGUCAGACUUUUGUCUCUGCCCCAUGGUUUCUUUUGGUAUGCGUAGAAAUUCAAGAAUAAUCUUAUGAAGUUACUUGUUUAGCUAGGUGGAAAAAAAUUCACUUCAGCCUAUUUUAAAUGCAAUAAAGGGGCAAAAACCAAAAGUCUUUUGUUAAAAUUAAAAAAAAAUUAUACAUUUGUACUCAUUUCUAGGCAGUUUAUUUUGUAAAGUUUCAAGCUUAGCACUUAACAGAAAAAUAUUUAAUUCCUUAAUUCACGUUGAUUUAAUUUGUAGUUGCUUUACUCUAUUCCUUUAAAGUUACACUGGUGUAGAAUCACAGAAGAUUUUGAAAGAGGUUAACAAAGAACAUGACUUUCCUAGACUAUAACAAAAUGGUGCAUAAGUCAAUAUAUUGCUUUUUUUGUUUAUAUUAUGAAAUUAAAAUGAAGUCCACUUUAUUUUCUGAAUUUUAUGCAGAAAAAGCUAUGAUAAUGUUUUAUGGGUUUUAUUGAGUAUAGAAAUUUUAGGAAACAUAAUCUUAGUCUACUGUUGUCACUGAUUUGUUAGAAAAGUUAGAGCAAUUUUGAAUUUAUAUUGAAGAUUGUUGCUUAUUUCUGUGCUUAAGAAAUCUGAAGACUAUUUAACACAUUUUUUUCAUUCACCUCUUGUGUCUGUCAGAUGCUGAUAAUAUGUAUGCCAGUAAGAUCUGUUCACUGUCUUCAAGUUUAUUUUCUUGUAGCGCAUUUUUAUAAAAUCAUUUGCUGAUUUGGUCAUUAGUUCAUAAAACGGUAUCAGCAAACCCUUUCUAAUUGAGUGUUGGUCAGUGCCGUGGAGCAGAAGGUCACAGUCGUUACCAAAUCACACUGUCAGAAGAACAGGUGGUGAAACUUUUCUUGUUUCCUUUUGGCAGGUGGCUACUUCAUCGUUAAAGGAGUAGAAAAAGUGAUUCUAAUCCAAGAGCAGCUAUCUAAGAACAGGAUCAUUGUGGAGGCUGACAGGAAAGGGGCUGUUGGUGCUUCAGUUACCAGGUACGGAAAGCAGGGAUGGUAUUAACAGAAUUAUCAGUAUUUCUUAACAUCAGAUGAUUGUCUUUCAGGACAGAGGUAGCCGGUUAUGUCUGGUAACAGGCAGCAAAAUACUUAUCUAACUGUUCAGUUUAUUGUGUGAGGCUGUAAGCAUGGAACAUUGAUUUAAAAUUUUUAGCAAUGAAAAGUGUGUAAGACCUUGGUCGAAAGGCCACUAGUUAUUUUAUUCAGGUUGAAUUUUGUUGCAUUAAAGGAAACUUUGAAAAAAGAAAUAUAAAACCACUCUUCAGUUUUCCAUGUUGUUUUUACUCUUUGAUCAUUCUACAUGUGUAUUCCUACAUGGAAUACAAUCAGAGAUUACUUUAUAUUUAAUAUUUUUUGGAUUCUGUCAUGGACUUAACAUCUUAUUGUUAGUGUUCUUAACCAGCCUCUUUCACAGCAUACUCCUUUUCCUACAGCAGCAUCUCUUGUGUCCUGUAAUUUCUUUUCACUAAUUUAUUAUCAUUGGUAACUUGAAAUUUGCAAAUUAAUGAGUUUUGGGAAUAAAAAAUAUCGUAGCAUAGUUAUGAUGUCCGUAUACGAUAGUUUGUCUUCUGAUGACCUGUAAUGAAUUGCUUAACUCAGACUUUGUGCCCCUUUCUGAUGGAGAGGCAGCUAACAUUAGUGGCCGUUUAUUGAGCAGUCGGUAGGAGCCAGGCAGAGUAACAGUGCUCUACAUUAUUUGUCCCCUCAGCCCUCCAAGAUAAGUGAGCUUAUCUCCAUUUUACUGCUGAGUAACAGGCCUUGGGCUCAGGGUCCUACUGAUCAGAAGAGGUAGCCAGCAUUUGAGCCCAGAUCUAAUAAUUCUGCAACCCACGUCUUCCUAUUUUACUACUUUUUGGAACCAGGGAUUUGGGAUUUGAAUCCCAAAGUUGUUCAGUAGCUAUGAGGCACUUGGGUGGGCAGUUACACAUCUUCUCUAAGCCUUUGUUUCCUCAUAUGUGAUUUGAGACACUACUUCAAAGUACGUAGGACAUGAGAGCCAUUAUAAGUGGGGUGGGUAUGUAGCAUCACAUGUAUGUAGCAGGUGAUCAGUAGGAGUUACUAUUGUGAUUGAUUAAGCUUGGAGCUGUUAUUGGGGUUUUUUAAUGUUUAUUUUUGAGAGAGAGAGAGCGCAAGCUGGGAGAGGCAGAGGGAGAGGGAGACACAGAAGCUGAAGCAGGCUCUAGGCUCCAAGAUGUCAGCACACAGCCCAGUGUGGGGCGCAAGCCUGCGAACUGCAAGAUCAUGAUCUAAGCUGAAGUCGGAUGCUUAACGUCGACUGAGCCACCCAGGCGUCCCUGGUUUGGGUUUUUAAAAAAAAUUUUUUAAUUGUUUUUAAGUUUAUUUUCUUUGAGAGAGAGAGCGCAUGCACGCAUGUGAGUGAGUGAAGGACAAAAAGGGAGGGAGGGAGGAAGAGAGCGAGAAUCCCAACAAGCCUUGUAUUGUCAGCACAGAACCUAGCACAGGGCUCAAACCCAUGAACCAUGAGAUCAUGACCUGAGCCAAAACCAAGAGUCGGAUGCUUAACCGACUGAGCCACCCAGGUGUGCCAGAAAUGUUUUUAGAUCCAUUAGUAAUUUUGUAGUUAAUAGAGAUACCAAUAAAAAGGGAUUUCUUAGUUUCUUUUGGCUUCAAUGUAUAAUUAGAGUGUAGAUAUAUUUUACUGAAUUGUUGAUUUAAACACUCCUAGUACAUAGGGGCUCAUUUUGAGGUUUAUCUUUGGAAAUGUAUAAAAUUGCUCAUGAAUAUACCCCACACUGAAUCAAAGCAAUUCAGGUGGAAUCAAAGUGAAGUAAAUCAGAAUGAAUUGGUGAGUGUCACUCGUUGACCCACAAAACUUUCACCGUAAUCUCAAAGCUAAAGAAACAUCGUAGUAGAUUUUAAAUAUUCGUGGAAGUGGCGAGUUGUGCAUUGUUAAAAGGUAUCUGUUAGGAAGGACCUUACAGAUGGUUAUUGAUUGGUGAACCUUAUUGAUCAUUGCUGUUGCAUGUGACUAGCUUGAAACCAGGCAGGGACACAGUUUAACCAACUUUUGUUUCCCUGUAGCUCUACCCAUGAGAAAAAAAGCAGAACCAAUAUGGCUGUAAAGCAAGGUCGAUUUUAUUUGCGGCACAAUACUUUGUCAGAGGAUAUUCCCAUUGUAAUCAUAUUUAAGGUAAGGCUGCAGGUACCUACUGGAAAUUGGUUUCAUACAUUUCAUACGUUUGUUUUCAUACAUAAUUAGAAAUUUGGAGGAUAAAGAGUUCUAGGAAUAGAAAGAUUUGUGGCAUAGAUAAAUUGUCAGGUAUGUAAUGUAUUUUAAAUUGAAAGCUAAGAUCAGGAUUCAGAUAUUAAAAAAUACUAUUUUUUAGUAGCUACACAAUUAAAAAUUUUAAGGGUAUAAAGUGAGAAGUAAACCUUCCACCCACCCAUACCUAACCUCCUAGUUGUUCUACCCAGGAACACCACUGUUACUGGUUUCUUGUGCAUCUUUCUAAAGACAGUCUAUGCCUGUACUAGCACAUGAGUACAUGGUAGAGUUUUGUUCUGUUUUUUACUUGCAUACAUUGCACACCAUUUUUCAUUUAGCUUGUUUUCUUUUUUGUAACUUCUGUCUUGGAGAUUGUGUUAUUAGUUGGUGCAGAGCUACCACAUUCUGUUUGACAAACUAUUCUAUUAUGGCCGUACCACAGUUUAAUCAUCCCUCCUUCGGUGGAUACACACAUCUCUUGCUGUUAUAGAAAUGCUGUAGUAUCACGUUAUACAGGGGCAGGGGUAUCUGUAGGCUGAAUUCCUAGCAGUAGACUUUUCUAGGUCAAAGAGUUUAAGUUUUUUUUUGUUUUUUGUUUUUAGUGUUUAUUUUUGAGAGAGAAAGAAUGUGCAUGUGGGAAAGGCAGAGAGAGAGGGAAAGGGAACAGAGGAUCUGAAGCGGGCUCCACUUCUCACUGACAGCAAAGAGUUGGAUGGUGGGGCUGGAACCCACAAACCGUGAGAUCACAACCUGAACCGAAGUCAGACAUUUAACCAACUGAGCCACCCAGGCGCCCCCCAAGUUUGUUUUUUUGUGGACUCGGGAGUCUGGUGUGUUUCUACAUAAAUAUGAAUUUUAAAAUUGAUUUUUUUCAGCUUGUUUAUGAACUGGUGACAUAGAAUCCAAAAGAUAUUUUCACACAGAAAUUAUGUUUAAAUGGUAUAUACUUGUGACCGCACAGCAGCCCGUUUAACCUGCUCUGGGACCUAAAUGUUCCCCACAUUUUAUGAACACUUGUAGUAUUAGUCACCAAGCGAAAUUUAAAAAUACCAUCAUGUGAUACAGUUGACCCUCAGCAUUUGUGAAUUUUGCACUUGUCAGUUAUACGUGCUGAAAUUUAUUUGUGACCCUGAAAUCAUCACUGGUGGUGGUUUUACAGUUAUUCACAGACAUGCACCGGCUCAGAGCAGUGACAAAUUUGAGUCCCCAAGCUCUAUGUUCCCAGCUGAGGUCGAAGAAGGUGACAUUCUGCCUUCUUGUUUCCACUCUCAAGCUGUAAACAGGAGCCCUUACCAUGGUCUCUUUAGUGCCAUGUUUUUUCACAUUUUUGUGUUUUGGGGGGAGGGGGGAUUUUGCUGUUUAAAGUGGCCCCCAAGCCAGGGGCUGAAGUGAUGUCUAUCUUUUCAAAGCACAAGAAGGCCAUGAUGUGCCUUAUGGAGAAAACACAUGUGUCAGAUAAGCUGCGUUCAGGCAUGAGUUAAGUGCUGUUGGCUGCGAGUUCAGUGCUAAUGAGUCAACAACAUACAUUGAAUAAGGUGUCCUUAAGGAGAAAGCCAUGUCAAACAAGGUUCUGUAUUGAUGGGUGGAGGAAAACCUAACCAGAGGCCCGCAGGACACAAGUGCAUUUCCCAUUGGUGCAGUGCUUCAGUGUUCUCUCGUUCAGGGUUUGCAGUGCCUCCGGAGAGCACAGCAGCCGACGAGACCCGUGCCCAACUGUGUAUGGGCCAGAAGUGAAUCCUGACUAGGGCUGAUUGAAAUGAAGCGUUCAGUUUGAGUCAGUACUGAAGAGAUCUUGAGAGUGGGGACGUGGGGUGAUUUUAGGGGUUGAUAACACUUGUUUCUCAUUUAGAGUUAACUCACUUUGGAGUUAAAUGUUCCUGCUCAGCAGUUGUUAACGAUAUCUGAAACCUUUUGGGGGCUGCAAGGGGAGAAAAUAGAGAGCUUCUGAGAUGGAGGUAACUAAGCUGGUUAAAAAGGAAAAAAGCAUUUGGGUAUACACCUCAGAGGAGUAAGAGAGAAGGACUUGAACUUGUCUUGUUGGACUUGUGACCCGGCCAGGGCCCAGGAGGCGGGGAGACGGGCCCCUUCCUGUCAGGCUCUAGUUGGUUUCUGGGAGGGAUGCCCCGGGCUGUUCCUGGGUAUUGAUCAGCUGGGUUCUCUAACUCAGGAAAUAACUGCAUUCUGAAUGCAAUUACAUGGAGAGGACUGUAGGAGAUUUUUUUAAUGUUUAGUGCAACUUAAUGUGCUUAUAAGUUCUCUGAGAUGCUGGAAUUUAUUUUCCUUUUAGGACAGUGAUGAUUGACGAUGAUGAUCACAGUAGCGGUACCAUUAUAUUGGGGGGGGCAAAGAGAAGUCUUAAAUGUGCUUUUCAUUAUAUUUCUUCAAGGUUUAUAUUUUUAAAGCAUGGAAGUAAUUUUGGCAUUUCUCAUAAGGAUCCCCUAGUACCCUGCAGUGUCUUGUGUCCAUAGCGGUGGUUAGUGGGUAAAGAGAAUUUCAUCUGACUGUGUAGAAUUACAUCUCCAGCAGAGGGCAGUGUGUUCCUAUGCAUCAAAGGACUUUUAUGGAUGUUUUAGAGGCUUAAAGAUGCAUAGGACUGCCUUCCUUAGACCAGAAAUUACAAAUUAAUUCUAAUGCUCAUAGUCUUCUAUCAUUCACAUGGAAAAUACAUCACUAGACACAUGGACACAUUAAAAUCAGAAAACCUUUAUUAAAUGCUUUUUUGGCUAGGUAACAAAAUUUUGAUAAGACCGUUUCUUUCAAAUUUGUUUAUUAUGUUGCAAAUGUGUAUGUGUAUUUAGAGCCAACUUAAAUCCUUUUUAAAAUGGGCCUAUAAGUUAGCAAUAUGCAUUUUUAGGUAAUGUGUAGUUGAGAUUAAACAACAGUUCUUGAAUUGUACAAAUUUAGAAAGCCACUGAGAAGCAGAAUUCCAUUUUCAGCUACACUUUUUUUCAGACCCUUUUUCCUUUGCUUUUGUAAUAUAUACAUGGGUUUUAUUUUAUUUUUUCUGCUUCACUUACCAGUGAAUUGUGAAUAGCUUUCUGUAUCUGUAAAUACAGAGCUACAUCAUUAUUUCUGGUAGGCAUUGUACAGAAGUGUGGGUGGUAUAAUCUAUUUAACCAGUUUCUUGUAGGACAACAUUCAGGUGCCAUUUUUUCCAAGUUUUCCAUCUUAUGCACAGCCCUGAGUAUUCUUCCACAUACGUGUUUGUGCAUGUUGCUGAAUAUUUUGUGAGACUGAACUCUUGGGAAUGAAAUUAUAUGUGUUUUUAAAAAACUCGGUGCAUGUUGCCAAACUUUCUUCCUGAAAUGUAACCUUAUAUUCUAAUCAGCCAUGUGUAAGAAUUGAAACAACCAAUUAAAAUUUUUCUGUUUGAAUAAACUAAAUACAUUGGUCGCAGGUAGUCACAUUUUGUGGUCUCCCGCUAGAGGGAUGUUUUAAAAGCCUGAUGGAACCUUGUUUGAUAACUUCUAAGACUUUUCCAUCUGGGGAGCAGCACGGGAUUUGGGAGAGCUUAGCACCAGACAGACAUAGGCCUAAUUCCCACUUCUCCACUUGUUAGCUGUGUGACCUCCAGACAGAUUUCCCAGUCUCCCUGAAUCUUGGAUAACUCCCCUAUAAAGUGAAAAUUUCACCUGAGAGGGUUGUUGUGAAGAGCAAAGGAAAUCACGCAUAUUUUGAAAAGUGGAUGGCCUAGAAAGAAGACACUGUUUCUCUUGCCUUCACUCUCCUUAUGCAGGAGCAAAAUAAACUGGGCGACCAGGAAAGUCACAUCAUUUCUCUUUUUGUGUUGUGUGGCCCUAACACAGACCUUGACAGUCAUUAGGACUUGAUGGUUGUUGAUUGUAACCAACAAUUGGCUAAAAGUGACAGAAGCAGCAGGGUUUCCAGGUUUCAUGCUGGGUCUGAAUAUGAUGGCUAAAGCUUUUAAGACCUAGAUCAGCCUUAUUUAUGGACUUGAAUCACUACAAAGGUUCUCCUGCCCAUGAAUCUUUUCCCCCUUUACAUUUUGUAUUCCCAAGUAUUCAGCAGUUGCACUGUGAUGGCAUCUGUAGUCUGAAAGUUUUUACAGAAAAGAUCAGAUUUCAAGGGAGCUGGGCAUUGUUUCUUGGAAACCAACUUACAUUAAAAUUGUUGAUCUUUGAAGAGAAAAAACUGCAGAGUGAAAGAGGGCUAUUACAGUUCUUUUAUCUGCUAAGACCACUUUGAGUAAUAAUAGAUUGAUUUCUGUCUAAAGAAAGAUUAGAGACUUCUGAAUAUUAGGUAUUUGAAGGACUUAAUCCCUUCCCAUCUUUCACAUGAUACAUUUCAGCAUAUCCCCAUCAGUGGGCAGGUUUUUCUCUUCUGCUCAUUAGCGUCUGUCUUUACACGUCACACUUGUAGUCACACUUCGCGGCCAUCCAAGGAGAUUUCAUGCCGCUUUUUAAAGAGCAUAUUCUCUUACUUUUGUUCAUCUUAUUGCUGAUGGCCAGACUGGGUGACCUGCUGAAACGUAUUGUCUCUGCUAAUUGUUCAUAAGAUCAUUAUGUAGCACUUAUUUCUGAUUUAUCAGGUGAAAUGAUUUCAGAUAUCUGGAGUACAAAGAGUUCCAUAUAUAAAAGCUAGUUUUCAGAUGUCUAAAUUAAGUCUGUGAAGCAAAAUGGUUGGGCAUUUUGCUAUUGUUUCCAUAGCAAUAUGCCAUUUAUUUGUAGCUGUGACAUCCCAAGGCUAAACAGUCACAAAAUCAGUUUGGUCUUUGGAGCUAGAGCGCUUUUGAUGAUGACCUGACUUAUCACCCUGUCGUUCAGAGACCCAGUAUAGGAAGAGUUUAGCCCUUGUAGAGCAAAGCUUUGCCACUGAUGAUUCUUUCUGCACAUAUGGUGUCAUUUACCAUGUGCUUGGCAUAUCUUCACUUCAUGGCUUAGAAAUAUUUGGAGGGCCUAAGCAGUCUGUUUAGAUCCAUGUUAGAACACUUGAAAAUUUUAUGCAGUUAUCAAAUUACCGCUUAGAUUCAGUCUUGGGACAACUUGAAGCAAAAAUUCAUAAUAAUGUCAAAUGAGGAAGGACUUUUUCAUUAUUAUUAAACACCAAAAUGGGUGAUGAAGUAUAUAGUCUCUCCCAUUUGGAGAUUUCUAAACUAAAAAUUAAUUACUAAAAUAAUCCAGGUGGCCUUAGUUCAGAAGAUUUAGAUGUUGACAUGCCUAAAGAAAGGGGGUGGGUGGAUCCAGAAAGCUAUUGCCAGUUCAGCUCCAAGAUUCUUUUUCUGUCCCAGUGAGACCUUGUCCUGCUGUAUUAUCUGGACGUACUAGGUUUAGCAUCUGCCCAUAUAGCUCUCUUUUAGUGUUUGCACUUUCCUCUGAGAGGGUAGUGUAUCAGUUACAAAGUUUUAUUAUCAAAGAUUUUAGAGAAGGGUGAUUGGAUUCUACUGCAAAUUAGUUGCCCUAGUAUUGUUUUUCUUAUAUUUUUAUUCCAUUGAAAUCCACAUAACAUUCUUUUUUUUUUUUAAUUGUUUUAUUUAUUUAUUUUAGAGUGUGCACGUGUGAGCACAGGGGAGGAGGAGAGAGAGAGAGAGAGAGAGAGAGAGAGAGAGAGAGAGACAAUCCCAAGCAAACUCCAUGCUGUCAGUGUGGAGCCUGAUGCAAGGCUUGAUCUCCUGAACUGUGAGAUCGUGACCUGAGCCAAAACCAAGAGUUGAUGCUCAGGCUACUGAGCCACCCGGGUGCCCCAGAACCCGAUAAUAUUAUUUUGAGAUUGACAAGUGGAAGUUAAUUUAUGUUCUGAUUAGCUUUUCACAGAGAAAUAGUCUCUUCUGGUAUCUCUGGCUGGCUUCUUGCAGACCAAGGAGGAAACGUAUACAGCUGUCCGUACGGGCCAUAGCUGUCAGAGCACAUGCACUCAGUGCUUGUUCAAAGGAUAAUUUAGGGUCUUGUUUUUGUUUCAUUUGUUUAGAAAUUAGAAGUGAUCAUUCUCGAGGAUUGCUCUCCCUUAAUCCAUGAAGUGCUGAGUGUCUUAACGAAGUUAUGUAAUUUUUAAACAGUGGAGUUUAUGCCUAGCAUCGACGUGAACAAAUGCAUCAUUUUAAUUAGAGAUAAAAGGACAUGAAAAUCAAAGUAUACAAAAGAGAUUUGUGUCCUGAGAGCAUCUUUAUUGUUCACUAAACAAAAAAAUGUUUGGAUGAAACAAGUUACAUGUUUAAACAGGUUUUUUUUGUAAGUUUCAGUAGUGAAUCUAAUGCCAAAAGUUGGUCUGUUAGUUUUUGUGCAAAUUCAGCAUAGUUUCUGUCGUCAGAGAUUUGGCAGUUGCUUGCCUGGGUGGCUCAGGCUCAGGGUCUUUCAUGAGUCAAGAUGUCAGCCAGGGCUGAAGUCAUCAAAGGCUGGGCUGGGGCGUGGGAAGGUCUGCCUUCAUGGUGGCUCCUCCACAUCAGACCUUUCCGUAGAUGGCUCCGGUGUCUUCAUGACACUACCCGCGGCUAGCUUCUCUACCCACCCCCCCACCCCCACCCCAGAGGAACACUCUAAGAGAAAGAGCAAGCCAGAGGCUGCAGUGCUGUUUCUAACCAGGCUCCGAAGUUGUACUCUGUGGCUUCCACUUUUUUUUCUGUAGAAGCGAGUCAUUAAGUUUAGCCCACACUCGAAGAGGAGAAUUAGUUUUUUACCUUUCGUAGAGAGGGUCAAAGAAUUGGCGAACCUUUUCUAAACCGCUACGGUUUGCCUCAGAGGGGGGACAUAGCAUAUAUUUAGCUCCCCGCCCCCCGAAAGCUUCUAACUUUCGGUAAGUUGACAUCUGAUCCUAAAGCAUCCAGAUGGAAUUUCUGGAUGAGAGAUUACUCAGAGUCAAACGGAGGACUGUAGAAUUUUGAAUCUUCUUGUUACAGAAAUGAAGAAAACUGAGGUGGACAAGGUGACGGGACGGUAGUGGUUGUGAGGUCUGUCUUUGACCUUGCUUUAGGAUGGACACCUGAGAUCCCUUGACCUAGAGAGGUGCCCUCUCUGUUGUACUCCGGCGCGUGUUCUCGAUGUUCCUUACUGGAACUUGAGAUUCAGUUUUCCCUUUCUCCCUCGUGUGUGGAGAACUAGGAACCAGAGCAUCGAAUCCUCACUAGAUAGUUAUUCCUGGUCCUGGUUCUUUAGCAUAGCUAAAGGAAGAAUUUUAAUGCAAACAUAACUUUUCCCCUAACUUCUAAGAAGCAGAUUCUUUCUCCGCCAAGAGAGGUGUAGUGAGAUUAUGCUCUAUUUCUUGAUGUGGCAGAAUUCCAGGCAAGUGUGUGAAGGAGUGAGCCUUCGUGGCAUAUGGAAUCUACAAAGACCUGUGCUGCCGGCUGCCACCUUGAAACACUUAAGAGAAGCGGGUUUCCUAAACCUCUUGAGUGUGUUUUUAGUGUUUUAAAAAACCUCUUUUUAAACUUGCGUAAAGAAUAGCUUGAUAUCUCCAGACUAGUGAGGUAAAACAUCCUUUAAGAAAAAUCCCUUUAGCCUAAAUGUGAACGAUUUGACAGUUCUCAGAAAAAUUAGUCUUGUGACAAAAUUAAUUGGGGUUCUGUUUGUUUUCAGCGAUGUGUAUUUUCUGAUUAGUGCCCUUUGGGUGUUUUGGGGUUUUUGUUUUUUGUUUUUUGUUUUUGUUUUCAGUUUGUUUUUGUAAUUGUGACCAGUGUCUCCACUAUACCUUCCUACCUCCUUUUUUCAUGAUGAAACUCCUAGGCUAUUUAAACAUUUUAGAAGAUGACACACAUGCAAAAAGUGCUUGAGAAUGUUUGUUUUCGUCUUCCGAAUCAAAAUUUCUGUUUUCAGGUUCUUCUGCAGCUUGUGCUAUGGCUGCCAAUGCCAGAUGGCACCAUUUCUGAGAAAAGAGCUAGCUUUUGCUUAGAAGUAAUACCCACAAACAAUGCCGAAUUAGCAUAAGCAAAUGUCAGUGAGUUAACACAAAGCCAACACUCUUUCUAUCUUUUCUUUCCUUCCUAGGCCAUGGGUGUGGAGAGUGACCAGGAAAUUGUACAGAUGAUUGGAACAGAGGAGCACGUGAUGGCUGCAUUUGGGCCCAGUCUGGAAGAGUGCCAGAAAGCUCAGAUUUUCACACAGAUGCAGGUGUGUCUUUUCAUGUCGUCCUUUGCUAUGAAAGGGAAUUGGAGAUUUAAUGCUGCCCAUGGAUAAAGCAUCGGAUGCAGUCACUUCUUGGGGUGUAGGUGUGGGAGGGUGUUGGGGAGGACCAGUAGAGAAGCUUCUUUGACUUGUGCUUUAGGAAUUAGAAGAAGGAAUUUGCCUUGACAGAUUAUCAGCCUGUGGUGUCUAACUUGGAAGGGGGAUAUGUGGCCAAGAGGCUUUUGUUCUGAUAUAAUAGCAAGUGUGCUUUUUUCAUUUAUUUGCCUAAAUGAUUUAUGAUUUUGAACUACAACAACUCCAGUGUAGAAGACUUUUUUUUCCCUCAGUUCUCCUCAAUUUCCCUUUUAUUCCCUACUUCCAGUUGCUUUCAGUGUCCAGUGUGGUCUGAAUCCCUUUUUCUGAAUUCCCAGCGUCAUCAGCAAGAAAAUUCAAGAUCAGAAACCCUUUACCAGGGUAGAGCUCUGUAGAGCCUUCAUUGACCUGCUAAGGAAUUCCUAGUUGGAACCUGGGGAUUUUAGGACACAACACUCAAAGAUGAAGACAGGGAGAUAUAUAUGCUAAACAUAAUAAAAUGAAUUGUACUUCCUGCCCUGGUGACAGGGAGCCCUAAUGCCCACAUUUAGGAUGUUUAGUCCCACAUUUGUAAAGUACUUUGCUCCAUGUAAAGUGGUGGCCUUACUCAUAGCCCUGGGAGGCAGGGAUUCCCUGCUAUCGAAGCACAACAGACUGUUCUUACAUAUCCAUACGUACAUUGUCUGUUCUGUGGGUUACUUUCAACAAGGUGUAAAUUCCAGGCUGCUUUUUCCUUGUUACCCAGGAUGCUUGUAGAGGUAGCAUUUUCCCACUUACAUCUGUUAGUGUGUGUUGAUGUUUUCUUAGAGUCAGAAAAACAUUCAAGAAGGUUGAUCGUUGUAUGUCAGUGUAUAUAUAAUCCCAAGGCACAAACCAGUAGGGAUUAUUAUUACUGCCUUCCUCUUUUUAUGCAGUUAAGUAAUAGCUCCAGUUAUUGGGCAGGUGGCAUCAGGAGAAGUUGUUUGGAUCUAGGAGGUUCUAUCUGUGGUCUUUAUUGAAAACGAAAUACUUAGUGUUCAUGAAUCUUUGUUUCCAACUGGAAUUGUACUGUACAAGGGUUCCAAGAACAUGAAGAGGAAACGUUAAGAAACAGCCAGGAGUUGGCUCAAUGUGGGGAGACACGCUCUCUCCUUCAAAGCUACGAAAUGCUGAGAAGAGCAGUUUACCUUAAUGGUAGUUCAGCGGAUUCAGUGAGAUCUGUGAAUAUUCAUUUCAUAACAGAUAGCAUCAUUGUUGCUCAGAUAACCCUGUAACACCAUGGUGUGGCUUGUGUGAAAAGGCUAAAUAGUGGGUUGCAAAAUCAUUUAUUUUUUUUAAAUAGGUGCUGACAGAAAGUUAGCUAACUGAAUGAGAGAAGUUCAGUUAAAGGUGAGGGGAAUAUACAAACAGGGGGUGUAAGGUUGACAUGGUUUGUACUCUGUGUGCUGGAUUAGAACAUUGAAUAAUUAUUCGCAGCUAAUAAGAGGCUAUAGAGAAAUGCAUACUCCGAAAUGGUUGGUAAGUUGAACACGAGUUCGGGCAGUGUGGCUAUUUGUUAUUCUAAGUGAACAUGGAGCAGAUCUGCAGUGUAUUCUUCUAUAAUAGAACUUUUGACAACAUGGCACUUAGUGGAUUGCUAAACCACCUGCGUUGUGUUUGUGUUUAAUGCCUCCCUUCUCAGUCUCUCCUCCAUUCCUUCUGCCCACAGAGCCUUUUGCUGGGCCUUGGUCACGGACGUUUUCUAUCAUCCUUGUCAAGGGCUGUGGUAUAGAGAGAAGAAAUUAUUAGCCUUUUGGAGGAUAGGAUGCACUUGGGGGUGUCAUCUUGGCCUGUUCGUGACCAGACUGGGCUCUUACCCCAACCCUCACACUAUGAACCCUUGGCAACAUUAUUAUUUUAGGGAAGAGCUGACUUUUGCUGUAUAGAAGGGAUACUGGGCUCCCCUGUGUUCCUCUGUUUUUCCCUCAAAGUGAAGGAUCUUUAGCCUCUUUCCCAAGGGAACUGGAAGACCAAAAUUUAAUGAGGACAGCUUAGUUUAGGGAAGACUGAACUGCCUGUCUCUUGGCAGUUCCCACUGACUGUGGGCUUGCUUUCAUUAGUUACUCGGUCCCCACUUGCUGCUAGGUCCCUGCAGCAAGGCUUGGCACAGUCUUAGUUUAUCAUCUGCUCUAACGGAUGUUUAACUGAGAAGAUCCUGGGUCUGAUGUCCCGAUCUCACCACGGAGGAGUUCUGUUCAGUUCCUGGCCCUGAACCAGUCAGUGAGAAUCAAAGAAAAAGAUGACACAACGUCUAGUUGGAGAGACAUACCCAUAAAUAGACAAUCAAAUUACGGUGUGGUCUGAAGUGGAAAGAAAGCACUUAGUUCUUUAUCCAUAAGGAAUUCCAGUAGAGAAAAAGGAGUGGGGUUAGGAAGGCUUCAGAGAGGAAGUGAUACCUGAGCUAAGUUUUGAAGCACAGAAAAGAAAUUUCCCAGACAUUCAACUGGGGACAGGAAUUUCAAGGUAAAUAAUCAGGAAUCCUAGCCCUCUCUUCUAACGGAAAGCCAAUUUAAAAAAACAAACAAACAAAAAAGUGCGUUCAUUUGUUGCUACAGAAUAAUAAGAACCACAUCAUCUUCUUCUUGAAGAACUUUUCAUUAUGGGAAAACCUCAACACAUACAAAGUAUACAGAUUAGUAUUAUGAAUCCUCAUGUGCCCACCACACAGUUUUGAUAAUUACAAAACGCUUUGACAUUCUUGUUUCAUGUAAAUGUCUACCUACUCCUCACCAGUUAUUUGAUUAGUUUUUAAUACUUCAUUUUUAUAUGUACAUUUCAGCAUACAUAAAUUCUAAGUCUUAAUUGCACAAUUGUGCAUAAUUUUUAUCACAUGUAGAAUAUUUUUCCAUUACCCUGGAAAGUUCCUUCAUGCCCCUUCUUAGCUACUUUUUACCUCUGUCCUCUGAUUUUCUUCCCCACUGUUCUGAUUUUUCACCACAGAUUAAUUUUGCCUGUUCUAGAACUUUAUAGGUGGAAUUAUGCAGUAUGUACUUUUCUGUGGCCAGUUUCUUUUGCUGAGCGUACUGGCUGAUAUUCAUCCAAGUUGCUUUUAUGUCAUUUAUCCACGCAGUUCCAUUUUAUUACUGAAUAGCAUUCCAUUGUAUGAAUAUACCACAGUUUAUUUUUUCCUGUUGAUGGGCACUUGGUUGUUUCACUCGGGAUGAAUAAAGCUGCUGUAUGCAUUCCUGUACAAGCCUUUGCCUGGACACUUCAGCAUUUCUCUUGGAUAAGUACCUACAAAUAGGAUUGUUGGAUCAAAGAGCCAUUGUGAAUAUAACUUUUUAUAAGGUUGGAACUGCCACACCUUUUUCCCAAGCAGUUGUACCAUUUUGCAGUCCCACCCCCCUGUGUGAGAGUUCCGAUUGCUCCGCGUCCUCACCAACAUUUGGUCUUGUCAGUCCUUUUGAUUUUAGCCAUUCUACUAGGCGUUUAGUGGUGUCUGUACCAUUGUGGUUUUAAUAUGUGUUUCCCUGAUGACUACUGAUGUUUAACACUUUUUCAUGGACUUACUGACUGACUUUCUUGGUGAAGUAUGUCCAAAUAUUUUGCUCGUUUUCCUCGUUGAGUUGUCUUUUUAGUAUUGAACUUAAAAGUCCUUUAAAAAACAUUCUGGAUAUAAAUCCCUUGACAGAUUUAUGUAUCAUAACUUUUUUUUUUUUUUUGGUUUGACUUACAGUUAUUGAUUUCUGUCCUGUGUAAAGAAAUUUCUCUUACUCCAAGGGCAAGAAUAUGGUUCUAGUAUUUAUGCUUAUGUCUGAAAUCCACUUAAACUAAUAAUUUUUUUAUUUGUUGUGAGGUAGAGGUCAGAGUUAAUUUUUUACUUUGUAGCUGCUUAAUUGUUUCAACAACAUUUGUGGAAAAGAUUUUCCCUUGCGGAUUGAAUUGCUUUGGUACUUUUGUCAAAAAUCAUCUGACCAUGAAAGCAUGGGUUUAUUUCUGGAUGUAUUUUCUUCCAUUGAUCUAUUUGUCCUUAUGCCAGUAUCACACUGCCUUGAGUACCAUAGCUUUCUAAUCAAAAGUAGGUAAUGUAAAUCUUCCAACUUUCCUUUUUCAAGAGCACUUUAGCUAUUCUAGGUCUUUUGCAUUUCCAAGUAAAUUGUAGAAUCAAUAGAUUUUUGGUCAGUUUGGAGAGAAUUGUAACAGUAAGCCAUCUUAACACUAUUAAACCUUCCCAGUCCAUGAAAAUGACAUAACCCUCCAUUUACUUAGGCUUUGUUUUCUCCCAGCAAUGCUUUGUAGCUUUCAGGAUAGAGGUCUUAACAUGAUGGGCUUCCUUUUUGAGGGAAAAGAGGCACAGCUCCAGAAUGUUAACUGUGGACAGUGGUUCUCUCUGGGAGGAGGAUUGGUGGCUGCUUCAUAUACGUAAUGCAUGUGUGUAUAUAUGGAUAAUCUGUUCAUUUGUAUAUUCUAAACUUCCUACAGUGAUCAUGUAUCAAUUUUGUAAUAAGAAAACUAUAAAAUAAGGGAACCAGUGUAUUGGACAGCAUAUAAUGCUUUUUGUCAUUGAUCCAUGACAAAUGUUGAUUUUUGACUAAACCUCAUGCAGCAUUCUCUAUAACCAGAAUCCUUGUCUUUUUGCUUAUAGUGUUAUGUAUGGGUUGGUGUUUAAUAAAUUUCCUCUAGUGGUGUCAUUCAAACAUCAUUAUAUUCUGUUUUUAUAGGCGUUAAAAUAUAUAGGGAACAAAGUAAGGAGGCAAAGGAUGUGGGGAGGUGGACCAAAGAAGACCAAAAUAGAGGAGGCAAGAGAACUCCUGGCUUCUACCAUCCUGACACACGUCCCAGUGAGUAGCACUGAACAAGUGUGAGCUGUGGUCAUUGUGGGGUCCUUGUGUUGAAGAAUUUUGAAUACAAGUUUACAUUAAUUAAAAUCUGGUUCUGUAAGAAAAGAGAGACUCUGAAAAGGACUGGACUGCCCCCGUGGAAAUAAUCUCCCAUUAUCAGUGGUUUAUUUGUACUUUGGGAAUGUUAGCUGUAUUCCAUCAUUAUUAUCCUGUUUACUCUCUUGUGGUUCUUUUGAUUUAAAAUUACAGUUUUUUAUAUUCAUACCUAUAUUAGUGCUGCUACUAGAUUUCAUGGUUUUGAAGGGCAGAGAUGGUGUUAGAUGUUUGUUUUUUUUUUAAUUUUCACAUAUAUUUCGUAUAUAUAUAUUUCAUACAUAUAUAUACACAUACAUAUGUGUGUGUGUGUAUAUAUAUGAUACAUAUAUAUAUAUGUAUAUGUUUUUAUUUAUUUUUGAGAGAGAGACAGAAUGUGAACGGGGAAGGGGCAAACAGAGGAGGAGACAGAGAAUCCGAAGCAGGCUCCAGGCUCUGAGCUGUCAGCACAGAGCCUGACGUGGGGCUUGAACUUACGACCCAUGAAAUCAUAACCUGAGCUGAAGUUGGACGCUUGACCAGCUGAGCCACCCAGGAGCCCUGAUGGUAUUAGAUGUUUUCAAAUGAAGCAAGCUUAUAGGGCCUUGCUCACUUAUUCUUUUUAUUGUAAAAUACAUAUCAAAAUUUACCGUCUUUAAGUAUACAGUUCUGUGGCAUUAAGUACAUUCUCACCGUUGUGCUACCAUUACCAUCAUAGAUACUUUUUUAAAAUACUAGUUGGUUUAUCUCCUAGACCUUGAAUUUAAUUUAAUUUGAUUUGAUUUUAAGUUUAUUUAUCUUGAGAGAGAGCAUGCAAGUAGGCUUUGCGCUAAUAGUGAUAUGGGGCUCAAACUCACGAACCGUGAGAUCAUGACCCGAGCUGAAAUCAAGAGUUGGACACUUAACUGAUUGAGCCAGCCAGGUGCCCCAUAGACCAUGAAUUUUAGAGUUCACAUUGUCCAGCCACCUUUACUUACAGUACAGAUUCUCCAGUCCAGACAAGCUGGAUGGUUUGUCUUGCCACCCAGCUGGUUAGUAGACAGAGAGCUAGAAUCCAUCUUUUGGCCUUGGAACCUGUGCUUAAUGCAGUUGACCCUUGAAUAAGACGGGUUUAAACUGUAUGGGUCUACAGAGAAAGACAGAUACCAUAUGUUUUUACUCUUAUGUGGGUCCUGAGAAACUUAACAGGAACCCAUGGGGGAGGGGAAGGGAAGGAAAAAAAAAAAAGGUUAGAGUGGGAGAGAGCCAAAGCAUAAGAGACUCUUAAAAAAUGAGAACAAACUGAGGGCUGAUGGGGGGUGGGAGGGAGGGAAGGGUGGGUGAUGGGUAUUGAACAGCACAUCUUUUGGGAUGAGCACUGGGUGUUAUGUGGAAACCAAUUUGAUAAUAAAUUUCAUAUAUUUAAAAAAUAAAAUAAAAAAUAAAAUAAAAUAAACUGCAUGGGUCCCCUUAUAUGUGUUGUUUUUUUCUUUCACUAAGUACAGUGCAGUACCAUAAAUAUAUUUUCUCUUCCUUAAGAUUUUCUUAGUCACAUUUUUUCCCCUCUUAUUUUAUUGUAAGAAUACAGUAUGUAACAAUCAAAAUAUGUGUUGACUGUUUAUGUUAUCAAUAAGGCUUCUGGUAAACAGUAGGCUAUUAGUAGUUAAGUUUUGGGGGAGGUAAAAUUUAUACAUGGAUUUUCAACUGUGCAAGGAGUCGAUGCCCCACAUGCCUAUGUUGUUUAAAGGCCAGUUGUAUUUACUUUUUAUUAAUUUACCAUUAAACAGAGAUUGGCCAUGAGGGAUGUGGGCCAUGAGGGAGUAAUCAUUCCUCUCCAUUUACUAUAACGUUACCCUUUCUAAGUGAUAGUAUUAUUUAUUAGACAUUCUUACUAACCAAAUACUGUAGUCUGGCUUAUAAUGAGUGUAUUGUUCAUGUGUAUUAUUCACAAAUGAUCUAAUUCUAGGGUUACAUACUCUCCCUUCAGGAACUGAUCAUAAAGGAAAGUCAAGGGAUCUGUGGAAGUGGACAGUGACCACCGAAAUACAUUCAGAUUGGAUAUUCUUAUUUUAAGUUUUUUUUUUUUAACGUUUUAUUUAUUUUUGAGACAGAGAGAGACAGAGCAUGAACGGGGGAGGGGCAGAGAGAGGGGGAGACACAGAAUGGAAGCAGGCUCCAGGCUCUGAGCCAUCAGCCCAGAGCCCGACACGGGGCUCGAACUCACGGACCGCGAGAUCGUGACCUGAGCUGAAGUCGGACGCUCAACCGACUGAGCCACCCAGGCGCCCCUGGAUAUUCUUAUUUUAAAACACCUUGUUGGCUAAAUAAUAUACAGAUCUCUGAUUCUGCCAUUUGUAUGUGUUUUGACUAAUUCAAAGAAUUAGAAAAUUCUUAAUAUCAAAACUAGGUCUCAAUAGAAUUUUAAAUUCUGGAUGACCAUUUAAAAGUCAGGACAGCUACAGUGAGUGUCUCUGGCUCCCCACUGCUUUUCCAGGCAGCCUCUCUCUGUCUCCAGCAGAGACAGAGACAGUCUCUUGGACUGCCUCAGUGCCUCAGGACCCAGAGAAAGGAAGUGGUAACUGCGAGUCCAUGGGCCAGCCCAGGGAGGGUGGUGGGCUCCACCUCUUUGAGGGAAAGGCAUGAAAUGUACGGGGAAGGAAGGAAGGAGUUGAUAGUGGCUAAUGUGCAUUGUCUCAGAAAUUUUCUCUAACUCCUAUAUCACAGGUUAAAGAAUUCAAUUUCCGAGCAAAAUGUAUCUACACUGCAGUGAUGGUGCGAAGAGUGAUUCUGGCCCAAGGAGAUAACAAAGUGGACGACAGAGACUAUUAUGGUAACAAGCGAUUGGAGUUGGCAGGACAGGUGAUUUAAUUACUUUAUGUCAGUGGGCCUGAGCUUCAGGUGUAGGUGUGGGGUUCAAGGUUUUUCAAAGCAUUAAUGCUUACUCAGAAUCCCAGUAUUAAAUAAAAACGGAGCCUCUCUGGCCGAGGUGAGGUAUAAGGGCUUAUUUCUCUACCUGCUGUCUCUUUCCUCGCGUCUCCUCUGGGGGAUUCGUAAAAGUUUGCUCUGUAGCCCAAAGUGUAGACUCUAGCGGGGUCCCUGAUGAUCUUGCUCCACUGUACCUUUCUAGCCCUGUCUCAUGCCAAGGCAGGCCACUUACAUCUUCCCAAACACUCCAUGAUGCUCUUUCAUCCUUCCACACCUUUGAGUUCUGCCUUCUGCCUAAGUUGCCCCUCUCCCGUGUCCCUUUACCCUCCCCCAACUGAGGAGCUGCUAUCCAUUCUUCAUUCUUGGAGUCACCCUCUUUGAAACCUUCUGUGAACCCCAGGAGAAGUUAGUUGCUCUGUCUUCCAAAUGCCAAAGACACUUUGUUCAGGUCUUUAUUUAUAUGCUAAAGUCUACAUAAUUCUUUACCUGCCAGCUUCUUCCCCCUGCCCUAGACAGUAAGCUCACUGGGGACAAGAAUACUUUAUAUUCAUCUUUCUAAUCCUCCUGUAAAGUGCUAGGCACCAGAGAUGCAUUGGUGAGUGACACUCUCUGAGGCACCUGGUCUCAAGAGUGCAUUUUGGUAGGGGAGACAGUGAACAAAUAAACAGCAAAGAAAUGAGAUGAUAUUAAACAGUCAUAUGUGUUUAAGGAAAACCCCAAAUAGGCUAAUGUUAGAGAGUUGGGGUGUUGGUGGAGGAAAGGUAUGUUACUUUAGUCAGCAUGAUUAGGAAAGAUCUCUUUGAAAAAAGUGCUGUAUUUUAAGCUGAGCCCUCAGACAUGCCUCUGAGAAUUGAAUGAGAAGAAACCAGUCUCAGGCAGCCUUGGGAACUGCAUUCCAGCAAUAGCCCUUUGCACAUGUGCACAGCCCUGCACAGUUCCAGCACCAGGGGGCUGGAGGAGGAUCAGGGCAGCUGGAGUGCAUGAGGCAGUGGGGCUGGGGGGGGGGGGGGGGCGCAGGGAGGGUGCAGAGGACAUUGGAGAACUAGUCUGUGGGCCAUGGAAGGGGUUUUGGAUUUCGUUUUCCUUGUAGUGGGAAACCACUGGAGAAUUAUAAUCACGGAAGUGACAUGAUCUGAUUUUUAUUUUAGAAAGCGCUGAUAUGGAAACGAACAGGCCAGGAAUGAGCCAGUUAAGAGGCUGUGACAGUAUUGCAUGUGACAGAUGUUGGUGGCUAGGAUAACAGAUACUACAACUACAACUUUAAAAGUAGGAUUAAAAAGUGAUAGCAGUUUUAGGUUUUGGAAGAAGGUUAGUGUCUGGACUGCUGGGGAAGUUCUGUGUGGUUAAUGGUUGAUGCUAGCAGGUGGGUUUUCCGCCACCUUCAGAUUGACCUCUGUUCAGGGUAUCAUGGGUAUCCCCACCACCAUCAGUCCCAAUUUUUAGUUAUUUAAUUGGCAAAAAUCAUGCUGUUAAAUGAGUUCAUUAAAAAAAUGUUGAUUGUUUAGAAGCAUAAGUAAUGGAGUCAGGAGAGGAGAGACUAUCCUGUUGCUUAAAAAAUUAGAAUUAAAAAGAGAGUUCCCGUGUGCAAGAAAACAUUGCUUUAUAAACAAUGUAAAGACAUAAAAGGCAUUGUGUUGGCAAAAAUGUGUAAAAACAAUAGCUGCUAAUUUCACACCCCAUGGGAUGAGGGAGUAUAAAUGUGCUUCAGCUUUAGAUAACAGAGCUGGAUCCACUGGCCAAGUGGGUUCACAGAGCUUUCCCUCCGUCUCUCUGCCACCAGAGGGCUGGCAGGCCAGCCGCCAGUAGAGGUGUUAGCAAAACCUACCGAUUUCAGGCUUAAUCUUUUCACCUACCUUUUCUUUUUCGGUAAUGUGUUCAUUAUUUGCUGAGCAUUACUCUAUUCUUUGUCUGCAAAUUUUUUGUUUCUAAUGCAGCUCGCUUUGUAUGGGUGAGAUAUGGAACGGCACCAAAAAUCCGGCACCCUGGAAAGCCAGGGAUUUCCACCCUGUGACAAAAGAAUGCCGUCUUGACUUCAGAGAUUGCCUAAUCCCAGCUGUUCUGAUAAUGUAAUUAAGGCUGCCUAAUGUCUUUAAUUUUGCAACCAGUUUGUGUGAAAAGGAGAAUUUGGCACUCUGAAGGCUUAACACUAAAUAGCAAUCUCAAGACGCCUAAUUAGAAUUCUCUGACAUUAAGCUAAUUGGUGAAACUGUAUUUCAGCAGCUUAACUUCUUUAUUAAUUUUUUUUAGCAUUUUCAUUGAAAAUCAAUUGAUGAGCUGUCAGCAUUUUUUCCUUAAAUAUAAUUUGCUCUUUAGUGUUCCUGUCGCAAGCUGGCUGGAAGGCCUAAUACUAGCAAUGAAAGGUGUUGAAUAUUAUCACCAGCGUUUCAUCUCUUUUAAUCAUUUUACUCUUGACCUAGAUAAUGUGGCUUAUUGUGUGAUUUGGCCUUGUAGUUUCCUACUGCCCUGUGAACUGGAGAACGUAAUUUCUCUUAAACCAAAAAUCUAGAGGGGGAGAAAUUUAAUGAGGCAGUAGUUCUGUGGAGUGUGCUCUUAAUGUUUUACUUGUUUAGGACAAGAGGCGUUUCCUUGCGUUUGAAUCGGGGGGCUAUGGCGAAUUCAGCUGGGAUCCAAGAAACUUUGUCAUAAUUUGAGACACAAAAGUCUAAGUGUAAAGGACUAAUUAAAAUAGAGCUGAGCCUUUGUGGUUUAGGUUAAGGGCAUUUGCUUCUGUUCAGGAGGCUUAUUCAAGUUCCUUUUGCCAGUUUCCACAGGAAGUUGCUGCAAUGGGCCUCUUCAUCCUGCUCACCCCUCUGCACCUGCUUCCAUUCCCAUAUUCUUUCCAUGAGUGAAGCUGCUGGGUCUGAGUUGAAGAAAGGAUUAAGCUCUCAGAGGAGGAAGUUUUCUUUUUAGAACACUUCUGACAUGGUACAUUCAAGUCCAAGGUCCUGGCUCUCCUCUCUGCAAAGUUGAUUUUAGUAGAAAAGUGGAAGGACAUGUCCUAACUUAAGGGGGAAAAGCAUAAAAUCACAUUCCACUUUGGCAAUUCUUCAGCAGUUGGCUCGAGGAGAAAACUCAUUUGCUUUGAAUAUCUUCUUCAUUAUGAGUCCAGAAGCUACCUAUGGGUUAUAAACAUUCAAGAAUAUAGUCAGUAUGGAACUUGGAUAAUCUUUAGCUUACAUGGUUUCGCUGAGUUCAGAAUUCCCACUUCAGUAAAUAGUGUAUAUAUGAUGCCCCCAUGAUAUUACUUUAAUGUUUUUUUAGGUGACUUAGAUUACAAAGACAUCAAGCUUUUUUCUUUCUCUGUAAAGGAAAAAAAAAAAUGCCUACAAAAGGGAGAAAAAGAAACUAACGCAAUUAAUUGUACAGAGGCACUGAAGUGUUUGUAGUAUCUAUUAUAUUUGAUUGUUGAAGAAGCAUACCUGCUGUUUGUUUGUAGUGAGCCACCAGUUUAGUUUUGGGAACUUUUUAUAGAUGGUAUUCUGGUUAUCUGUUGCUGUGUUGCAUGCUAUCCCAAAACUGUGGCUUAAAUUAACAACCAUUUCAUUAUACCUCACAGUUUUGUGGGUCAGGAAUUCAGGCAGGAUUUGGCUGUGUGAUUCUUUUGUUUUACAUGGUGUUGAUGGAGGUCAGUUGGUGGUACUCUGCUAUAGGGUGUGGGAAGGGUGGAAGGCUGGUCUUGGCUAGGGCCUGACCUUUCCAGUGUUGUGGCAAUGGAGUGGCUCAGGGCUCCAAAUGAAUGUUUCCUGGGAACAAGACACAACCAGUACAGCCUUAAUGACCUAGUCUUCAGCUUCGUUUAUUUCUACCCGAUUGGGAAAAAUCGGUUACAACCUCCACCCAGAUUUGGGGCAGUGGGAAGAUUUGGGCCACAUUUCUCAAUGUGUAGUUCAGGGGUCACCCAGAGAUUUGUAAGUUUACAUACAUAAUUGGGGUUUCCUCCCUGUGGUUCUGUGAUUUUCCCCUUUCCAGCUGUUGUGGUAGCACAGAUCUUUUUCCUCUGGGUCUUCAAUCCAGUAAGAUGUUGGGUCUCUCUCUGAGUUUUAGCUUCUCAACGUAGCUUUGACCCUUCUUACCAAUGUGGCCUCCCUUAAUUGAAAAGCCUUAACAACGGGAAAUGCACCCAGUGCCAUUCACUUUUGAGACAUGUUGGCUUUCCUCCAGUUUCUGCCUGCUUUUAGACGCUCUUCAGUGGCCUCAGAUAGUUUUGAUAUUUUGUCUGGAGUUUAUAACUAUUAGCAGAUGAGCCCAUCUGAUAGGAGCUUCUCUACCAAUUCUGGAAACAGAACUGUUCUUGUCUGUUCUUAUGACUUCCUAUUACAUCCCAUUGACUUGGUUUCUGUGGUUAUACUAUUUCAGAUAGUUACCAUGGCUUAAUAUCAUUUAAUACUUUAUUAUGUAAUUUUUAACAUGAAAAUAAAAAUGUUACAUAAAGUUUUGAAGGGUACAAGUAAAAUCAACACCCUCAGAGCCACUCUCUGACUUAAUAAUUCUUAAUAAUCAACCGUUAAUACCAUUCCGUUAACCGGUGUAUUUCUUCCUUACUCUGUUUCUCUUUUCCCCUUAUCCUGAAUUUUUGCACUUUUUUUUAUUAUAUCAUCUGAAUUUUUAAUUUAAAAAAUGUAAUAUAUAUUAUUAAAGUAUAAGUUUUGCUUAUUUUUGAGUUUUGUAAAAAUAGAUUCAUACCAUGUACCUUUUUCUGGAACAUUUUCUUCAUUCAACAUUGUUCUUAAGAUCUGUAUUGUUGGGUGUCACUGUACUUCCAGUUUUGUAUUAUAUUCCAUUGUAUAUAUGGAAUAUGAUAUGAUAUAGAUGAUAAAUAACACUUUAUCCAUUCUACCAGUCAAGACCUUUGUAUGAUUUCCCUUUUUAAAAAAUAUUAACAUUCAUACUUAUUUUUUCAGGUGCCCAUAUGCAAGAGUUUCUACAAAUAGGAUUGCCAAAUCCUAGAGUCAAGUUAAAUCUUCAGUUUAACUGGAGAAUGUCAAACUAGUUUCCCAAGUAUUUGUACAUUAUACCGUAUAUGAGUUCCUGAUCAUCUCCAUUCUAUGCCUUAGUAUCAAACUUUAAAAUUUUUGUGGUGUUAAUUUGCAUUUCGUUUAUUACUAAUGAGGUUGAGCCUCUUUUACAUAUGCUUAUUGACCAUUCCUGUUUUUCCCUCUUUGAAAUGCUUUUUGGGUUGUUUGCAUUUUCCUUAUUGAUUUAGAAUUUAUUUAUUUAUUUUUUGUAAUUCUAGGUUUUGCUGGUGGUUUCCUCAUGGUGACUUUCAACUAUAUAUUCCUCUCUAUUUCUCUCCUUUAAAUUUCUUUUAAACCAGGAAUUAAAUUGAGAGGCUAGAUCAAAUUCAAGUUCUUUUUUUUUAUUUUUUUUUGGCUAGAAUGCCAUUGUACAGUUUGCUGUUAUAUCCUAUCAGGAAGAAUAUGACUAGUUGUAUCUAUAUUUGGUGCCAUGGGAAUUGAUCACUGGGAAUUUGAUCCCAUGGUGCCAUGAGAAUUGAUCAUUGGGAUCUUUCUCUCAUGUGAGAGAGAGAAAUUCCAGGGAAAUAUCCAGUAUUUGGGACCCUGAUUCAUCUGUGAAGUUCCCCAUCAACUUUUCUCCUGAUGGUUUUAUUUAACAGCUGAUGAUGAUUAUUCCAUUAUCCAUUGUUUAAUUAGGGCAUGGAAAAUAGUGAUACUUUUUCUGCUUAUUUUGGCUAGAAUUUUUCAAUAAAGAAUACUUUUCAGUAUCAUCUCUUUGGUUUCCCUGAGACAUAAUUUAUAUGGAAAAGGGAGAAUAAAUGCUUGCUGGAUUUUUUUUUUAGCCAGUUUACAGAGUGUUAAUUUAGCUCUCUAGUUACCUCCACAGAUGAAGGGUUGUUUUUUUUUCUUUCUAUCAUCAUAAACUUAGGAAUUUUAACAUUUCAACUUAAGUGUUAGAAUUACUGUCUCCAUUAAAAAAUAAUAAUAAAAAGCCUGCUAGUUUUUGAUAGAGAUUGCAUUUGAAUUUAUAGAUUUGGGGGAGAAUUGACAUCUAAAUACUGAGUCUUCUAAUCCAUGAACAUAGUAUAUCUCUGCUAUUGAGAUUCUCUUAAUGUCUCUCAGCUUUUUGUAUACUAACCUUGUAUCUUACAAGCUUGCUAAACUCAUUGGUUCUAGUAGGUUUUUUUUUUUUUUUUUAUUAAGACUCUUUGGGAUUUUUUUUAUAUGGACAUACAUGGUAUCUGCAAGUAAUAACAGUUUUCCUUUCCAACACUUACAUAUUUUUUUUCUUGCCCUAGUGUACUGAAUGGUACCGCCAAUACAGUGUUGAGUAGGAGUGGUAAGAAUGGGUAUUCUGUCCUCUUCCCCAAUUUUAUAAAGCAAAGCUUUCAGUUUCCUGCCCUUCCCAGUGGUAUCUGGCCCCUGCCAUGUACGAGUGCAGAAUCCUUGACCCAGGCAUGUUUCCUGCUCCUCUCCCAGGGCAAGAUGGUUUGGCUUCUCCUCCUCUUUCCUCUGGCCUUGUACCUUUUCCUGGAAUUGGUGACCAGAGGGUUUGCUGGCCUCCCUCCAGCGGUAGAAUGCUGUUGCUUGUUACUAGAUGUAAGACUUAGGGUGGGAGCAGGGGGGCUUUCCUCUCCACCCUUAGGGACAGAUGACUUUUGCUUCUGUCCUUCUCUCAGUGCAGGUCACCUUUGCCCGGAACUAUUGGCAGGAGGGUUUCCUGACUUCUCCAGUGACUUAAAGAUUUUGCUUCAUGCGAGAGAAAGUCCAGGGAAAUCAGGUUUUAUUGCUUGUUCCAGUGAAGGAAUCUUUCUCCGGUCUUUUGCUUUACUUCAGUCUUCCAUGAGCACUCCACAGCAAAGAACUUGGGUGUAUGGAUCCUCUUGUAGGUCUGAGGCUCAGAAGGCAUCUAAGCUUCCAUGGUAGCCCACAUUUGGCUUGUAAGAAGUCCUUAAAAUUUUGACUGAUUUCUUCUUCUGUGGCAGACUUCAUCUCUGUCAUGUGUCCCAUCUCCCUUGGGAGAGACUGUUACUCUUUGUAUUCAGCUCACCUGGGUGCCUUGCAGCCUUACCUCUCUGUUGAACCCCAGAAAUGUAUGACUUUGUAGUUGAUUUAUCUGUUUUUGUUAUUAGAGUGGAAAAGUAUGUUGUCGUGUGACUUUCUGCAUCCUACUGGAUGUGGAAUUUGCAAACUUUCUUAAGCUCUCUACUCCCUCCAAAUCCUAGCUUUCCUUCCACCUCUGCUAUUCAUCUCUUCCAUGAAAUCAUUCAUUAAUCCUGUUUUCCAAUAAUCUUACGUAAGGGAUUAAACACUUUUUUUUUUUUUCUAGCAUUGGCUGAACUGUGUCGUUUUGGACUUUACUUUGGUCUCUAUUGCCUUUACAUCCUUCUCUGCUUAUGUAGACUUAGGCCCAGACCAUUGGUCUGAUGAUUGGUGUGAGUCUGUGGUCCAGUUUUCACUGGUCUGGAGAGGAAUGAGUAAAGAUGGAUGAUGUGAGUUUUAUCAAACAAAUUGUAUUUACUUUUUUGUGUUUUUCUCUUGAGAUUAUUUGCUCUGCCAUUUUUGAUGUUAAAAUGUGUUUUUGAAAAUGAGAUGAUGUCAGUACAUGGGUGUUUUUUAUUUUAAAAUCUUUUUAUUGAGAAACAUUACAGACAGAAAAAUGCAUAAAACAUAAAUUCCAGCUUAAUAAAUUGUUAUAAAACAAAUAGCUUUGUAAAUAACGCUCAGAUUGAAAAAUAAAAUUUCAACACUUUAGAAGGUCCCCACCCCCAACAUAUCCCUACUUGAUUGAAAUCCUCCCCUCCCAAGGUAAGACCCUUAGCCUGAUUUUUAUGGUAUUCACAUCCUUGCUUUUCUGUAGAGUUUGGCCAUCAAAUUCUAGUUCAAUUUUUGCUGGUUUUGAACUUUAUGUAAUGGAAUCAUACUAUAUAUAUAUGUGGCUUCUUUCACUCAAUACUAUGCUUUUAGGAUCCAGCCGUGACUUUGUGGUUAUUUUUUGUUCAUUUUCAUUGCUCUAUAGUGUUCCAUUAUUUCAAGUAUGCUGCAAUUUGUCCAACUAAAUUAUUACUUGUUUGACUUGAAGUUUAUAGCUCAUACAAAUAAUGCUGUGAAUAUCUCCUGUGCUGAUGCACAUUUCUGUAGGGCUGUGGUUCUCAAGGUGCCCUUCCCCCACCAGCAGCUCCCGGCAUCUCCUGGGAACUUGUUAGAAAUGCAAAUUCUUGGACCUAUUGAAUUAGAAACUGUAGGGGUGGGGCCAGCAAUUUGUGUUUUAACAAUCCUUGAGCGUGAUUACCAUGCAUGCAGAAGUUUGAGAAGCACUGCUGUGGGGGUGUACCUGGGGAUGAACUGAGGGGGCUUAGGGAAGACUAGAUUAAUGAAUGGAAAACUGUCCUCCAAGUAGUUGUAGCAAUUUACAUUUUCACCAGGGAUAUAGGAGAGGUCCAAAAGGCACCACAUUUUUUGGUGUUGUGAGACUUUUUAAUGGUAAUUCUUCUCUGCCACUCCCCUUUUGGGUUUUAAUUAUCUUUAUCUGUAAAAUUGAAACUUAGGUCACUGGUCAGUGAAAUCUAAAAGUCUGGAAGUGACUGGUCUAAAUGAAAUAUAUUUGAGUACAGAAAUUUUGUCAUCAUUUUUGCUUUACUCCCAGUGCCUAGCAUAGUGAUAAGCGCAUAGAAAAGUACAUAUUUAUCCAGUUGAAUUUUAAAAUAUUUUUUCAUUGUUCAGCAGUUUCUCUGUCUCUUUUUUAAAAAGUUUAAUAAGGACCUAAAGUUUAUCAUACAGACUAGUAAUGCAUUUUGAAAGUUCACUGUAUACUUUUUUUUUUUUUAGCUUUUAUCACUUCUUUUUGAAGAUUUAUUCAAAAAAUUUAAUUCUGAAAUGAAGAAGAUUGCAGACCAGGUGAUUCCUAAGCAAAGAGCUGCGCAGUUCGAUGUUGUGAAACACAUGCGUCAGGACCAGAUCACCAAUGGCAUGGUGAAUGCCAUUUCCACCGUAAGUCUCCACGCAUUUGUUGAGGCUUUUGUAACUUAUUUAUACCUCUGUUCAGUGGAAUGGAAACUGAAAGUACUUUGGGAACGUAGGUGAAAAAAUAACGUUUAUAUUUGGAGGAUGUUUACAAAUCACACAUUUUUGACCUUGAAAGACAGUCCAUAGUUUAAAUGUUUAAAUGUUAUCACUAGGAAUCUUGUUACUGUGUGACUUUAUUGCCAAAUUAUAGUCUAUGUUCUAUAAGGCCGUAAGAAAAUAGACUCUUACAUAGAGGAAAAAUCUUUUAGUUUAACUGAGAAUAGCCCUUCUUUUAAAGGAUACUUCUUCCCCUUGUUUUCUGUAAUAAAACUGAUAUAUUGCAAGUAGGUUUAUUAAUGACAGUUUUUGUCCAAAACAAUAUAAAAUGUUUCAUUUCAUUGUAGGUUUAUGUUCCUCGUAGGGCUAUCAGCUGUUCCUCACGUGAGUGAUGAAUUCAGGCCUCGGCAGCUGCUGUGUAUUCAGGGCCCCUGGCUGUUCAUAAAGGGUUAUCAGAUAGGUUUUUGCUCCCUUUCUUAAAGCAUAACAACUAUAGGUCUAUCUGAUGAAGUCUAGUUGUGUUUUGUAUGCCAGACAUAAAAUUAGUUUUAUAGAUGGGAGUUUGCCCCGACAAAAGGAUAAUGUGCUAGAACACGUCGAUUCCCUUAACAAUGACAGAAUUAGUGGCAGACUUGCUUCAGUUCUUGUCUUUAGAAACUAGCAGGCGGGUCUGUGUGAACUGUCCUUGCCGUGACAGCUACCUCUAACUUGACACGAACUGGGCCUUUGUGCCUAUUUAGGCACAUUAAACUCUUGUGGCCCGAACUUGUGUGAAAGUAGCUCCCUGGACAUUUGAAGAGAAGCCUCCAAAGAGCACUUGAACGCACAUCAGUUAGAAUUACUUUUCCUCGCUUUCUGACCCAUGAUUUUCAGGUCCUGAUAGCUUUAUGGAGUAGUUCUUUUACCCCUUAGGGACACGGCUCUACCUCCCAGAGAUAGCCUGCUUAUUUGAAAAAGCCUUGUUGUAGGUGUACCCCAGUCUGUAGGCAGCCAGAGAAACUUGUGUUCUCUUCCUAAAUUCUGUGUUACUGUAAGUAGAAUAUUUGCAACAAAUACGUUGCUCUCAGAAGAGCAAUUUUUAUCUCCUUGUCUGUUUCUCUCCUCUCCCUUCUUGUAAUACUCACGCAGAAGACUAGAACAAAUCCUCUUGUUGGACACCUUGGCUUCACUUCCCAUCUACUUCCCGUUUGCCAGCAGCUGCUGCCUUAUUUUAGCUCUGUGUGGAAUAUUUAUUUACCUUCCUCACACCUACUCUCUGGGCAUCAGUCCAUUUGCUAGUUUACCCUCAUUCAGAGCAGAAAAGGAGUUCACUGACGAAGCAAUGCAAAAACUUGUGGAAUAAAUGUGUUUGCUCUGUUUCUUUGCUUUGUAAAAUGUACAGAGCUUCUUCCUAGAAUUUAACUCUUUUCCGUGUUACCAAGAACUCAAAGUUUCUGCAGUGAUAGAUCUUUACUGUAAUGAUGAUUAAACAUUAGUUCGUGAGGGAACUGCCCCAGAGUUACACAUUUUAAUUCAAACAGAUCACCUUAUCUCCUUCUGAAACUCUAGCAGUUUUUCUCCGUUAGAGUUUUUAGCUUGGGAUCUGUGAGCUCCCCUGUAAGUGAAAUGUUUUAAAAUUUUGUGUUCAUGGUCCUACAUGCAUUUUUCCCAAGAGAACAGACACAGCUUUCAUCAGAUUCUCAAAAGAAAAAUGAAGACUCACCGUUUAGCAGAUGUAGUCCUUUCUUUUGACUCAGAUUAUUGAAUCAGUGAUUUUUUGACAUUUUCUACUUUACUUUCCUACACAUACUCUUUUCUACUGCUAGUUCAUGUUACCAUGAAUUGAAAAUUUAAUUAUUGCUAACCUACAUCUUUAAAUUAUCUUUCAGAAUAUUUAAUGUAUAUGUUUAUUUGCUACAACUAUAAGAUGAUAGAUUUAAUAUGAUUCAGUAUAUUGAAUGCAAAGGAGAUAAACUAAAUUUAAUGUUGAAGAUUUAGCCGCAGCGGAUACAUAAUAUUUCUUCAUAUGAAUAUAUAUGCAGCUUUUAGCCUUGAUUAAGAAGCUUACAGUUUAUUCAUUAUUCCUGAUAACUGCUAUUGGAGUCAUUUUUCUGGUCCUUUUCUAUUAGUAUAUUCUCCUCUAAUUAAGACAGAUUUUGGAAGACAUCCAAAUAAUGACACAUUCCAACAUGAAAUUAUCUCUUUGAGCUUCCAGCUACUUUUACCUUAAAAUAUGUGUAGAAAUUGCUAGUGUUCUGUUAAUUAGCUUAUUGCUUCCAGUGGAAGUCUCUGGUUGAACUGGCUUGCCAGGAUAUAAUUAGUUCUUCAGACAAUAACUGCUAUGACAUGGUAAGGCUGAUACAUCACAGCAUUCUGGCCUGGUUGCUAGACAUAGGUGAUAUUCAUUAAAUCCCUAGAGAAAUCCUAGGGAGUGACCAGGGUAAAUUUUCAUUUCAGUUGUGAUAUUUUGAUUCCUGAAUAUGCACUGUGGCUCUCAUUUCACAAAUAGUUCCUGUGAUGAACUUCUUAGAGGGGCUGGAAAGUGUCAGGCAACAUACAAACGGAUCAGUGGUGGCCUUAGGUCUUUUUAUAUAUUUAUUUUCUUCUACAGGGAAAUUGGUCCCUAAAGAGAUUUAAAAUGGACCGCCAGGGUGUGACUCAAGUGCUGUCUCGCUUGUCAUAUAUAUCCGCACUGGGCAUGAUGACAAGAAUCUCUUCUCAGUUUGAAAAAACAAGAAAAGUGAGUGGUCCUCGAUCCCUCCAGCCAUCUCAGUGGGGAAUGCUCUGUCCUUCGGACACUCCUGAAGGAGAGGUAAGGGAUCUAACGAGUCUCUGCUGUGUCAGAGGUAAUAUCUGUUGGUGGUGUUCUAAUUCUGCCCCUGUUCCCCCCAGGCCAUAUCCUUUUUUUGGGUCAGUCACUCUCUGGCAGAGAAAAAAUUGAUGCAGCCUGUCAGGACGACAUCAGUGUCAUUCCAAAACCAGUACCUACAGAGGCAUUUGAUUUAGUACCUCACCUAAACAGAAAUAUGAUCCCAAUUUUCUUGUUUUAGCUUAUCCCAAGAAUCAAACCAUGCAAUGAAGAGGGGAUGAGAAUGUGAGGGAAAAUUGGGAGGCCCAUCAUCUUGAUUCAGGAGGGUCUCUUUUUAUAAACAACUCCUUAUUUUCCUUAGGUGUGCUUGGCGGGCAUCAGGUUUUUGCCAGGGCAGCCAACAGAGAGCACAGAACCAAGCAGCUUAAAUAGGUUUGCUCCCCCAGCAUCACCAUUUCUGCAUCACGGCCCUUUCUCCUUCAUGCUGACCAUUUUUGGUUUUACCCGAUUCUGUUCGUUGUGAACUGUGAGUUUCCGGAGGAAAGAACCUCGUCAGGUUCACAUUCUACCACGAGUUCCUAGCACAGAGCCUCGUCCACAGUAGAGGCCCCUUAGAUAUAUGCUGAAUGAAUAAAUACAUUAGUUAUUACAUGUAAAAGAUGUAAGUUCCAAAGAGUAGGAAUUUGUUAUGACUUGGGAGAGGUGAAAAUAGAAGGCCAGGCAGAGUUAUAAUUUUUUAGAAAAUUGUCAUCCGUCUCCUAAUUUAUCUUAAACCCUAUGGAAAUGCACACUACAAUUAUGCAGCUUGUCACAUUUGCAUAACUUCUACUUCUUGAGCUUUGGAGCACUGAAUUUCCCGGAGAUGGCUUCAGCUAACUUGUGCAUCACUGUAGCAGAUGGUUUUGAAGAAUGGAAGACAAUCUUUACAUGUCCCAUGUCUCAACUGUUUUUUUUUUUCUUACUUGCUGUGUUAUGUCCUUGUUCAUAUUUCAUCUUAGAUUUUUGGGGGGGUGUGUAAAAAUUCAAAAAUAUUUUAUUUACUUUUCAUUUUGAAGAAACUUCAGAUGUACACAAAAGUUGCAAAAUUGGUACAAAGAAUUUCCAUAACCCCUCACCUAGAUUGUUCAGUUAUCAGCCUGAUGAAAUUAAAAUUGAUAACAGUAUUGUAAUCUAUAGAUUACAGAAUAUAUUACGGGUUAUAGAAUCUAUACCUUAUUCAAAUCUUGCCACUUAAUCCCACCAAUGUCUUUUUGCUGACCCAGGAUCACCCACUGCUUUCGGUUGCCAUGUCUCCUUAAUCUCUACUCUGGAGCAUUUCUUCGGUCUUGUCUUUGCCUUUUAGGACCAAGAAGCUUCUCAUGAACCAUGAGAUCAUGACCUGAGCCAAAACCAAGAGUUCGAUGCUUAGCCCACUAAGUCACCCGGGUGCCCCCAUCCUUUACUGUUUUUAGACAGUGUCCUCUUAAUGACUGUGACGUUCCAUUGUCUGGGAAUAACAAUUUAUGUAGUCAGCUUUUUUUGAGGAUGCAUUAAACGAUGCCAUCAUUAUUUGCCAUUGUAAAUAGUACUACGCUGAGCACUUCUGUGGCUAAAUCUAGGUUUAUAUCCUUGCUUAUUACUUUAGGGUAAAUUCCUCUGGAUAUACGUUUUUAAGUCUUUUGUAUCAUCCCCAAAGUGUCCCCUACAAGGCUGUACUGCUUUAUGUUGCUGCCAGCAAAGCGGUGAGCUAUUUUCAGACACAAAUGGUACUUUGUAUUACUAAUGGUCAUUCUUAGAAAUGACUGUCCUUUGCUUUUUAGGCAUGUGGUUUGGUUAAAAAUUUGGCCCUUAUGACACACAUCACAACUGACAUGGAAGAUGGACCCAUUGUUAAAUUAGCCAGUAACCUGGGAGUAGAAGACGUGAAUUUAUUAUGUGGGGAAGAGCUCUCUUAUCCAAAUGUGUUUCUUGUCUUCCUCAAUGGUGAGUGUAUCACAGAGACCUGUUGAUCCUGAUCAGUCUCUGGGUGGGGAGUAGUAGGGAAGCCAUUAUUAUCCAGGUAUUUAAAGGACAAAGGUACUUCAGUUUUGGCCCGGCCUUAAUUUAAAGGUAGAAAAAUGGUAACAGAAGCAGUCUAACCCACUGGCCGGGGCAUCAGGUGCUGAGGAUCCCAGGCCAGAGCUAAAGGUAACGUUGCAGACAUUGGCCGCGUCCUGCCCUUCCACAGAUAACCGCUAGGCCAAAGUGGAAAAGGCUCAACAUGGCCUCUUUAAGUUCAAGUUAAAUAUGUGAGACAUUCUGCAGAAACAGAUCAGCCCUGACAGCACGUUGACUUCUAUUCAGCCACUCGGUGAUGGAUUGUCAGCAGCCUGUCGCGAGAGGUCCCUUUUUUUCUGCUCGUGUUCCAUUUGCUUCUUUCAUCCCCUCUGAGUCCUCCAGAGCCUUGGCAGCAAGCGUGCCUCAUCCUUGUGAUUUGGUGACCUGGGUACCUGUCCCGCCACACAUCCUGCAGGCUCGUCCUGACCGCCUAGCUCCCGUGCUCUUCUCCCCUUUCCUUCUGUUCAGGGGGCAUUAGUCCUUCACUGUGUGGGCAGGUGAGAAGCAAAACAGGGCUGUUCAGUACAUCCCAGCGACCGACGCCGAGAGAGCUCUUCCUCUGCAGUGUCGCCCGGGACCUCUCUGCAUCCUCACGCUGACCCCGGGGUGCAGAGUCCAUCCUCCUCAUUGCACAGAUGAUGAUGAUGGAAGAGUGGUUAGUAGGAGCCGGGCAGAGCUCGAAGCGCUUUACGUAGGAUCGGGUUCACAUUACUUAAUCCUCACAUCAACCCUUUGGAAGGGAUAGAGCCAGUGUUCAAACCCAGGGAGUCUGGACCUCGAAUUCCUGCCCUCAGUGUGGUGCUGACCAGUGAGGAAAAGGAGGCUAACUUUUGCUAGUUCAGCAGGCACGGGGCAGGGCUGCUUUCCUACAGCCUAUGGACCGGCUGCCUGAGUCAGUAACUGAAUUUUCAAAUGACUACUCAGUGCUGUUUAUCGUCUUUAUCAGGUAGAUAUUUCAAAUCAGUAUAGAUCUGUUUUUCUGCCUGUUGUAAAUUUUUCUCUUUCUGCUUAGGUAACAUCCUGGGUGUCAUUCGGGACCACAAGAAGCUAGUGAACACGUUUCGACUGAUGCGAAGAGCAGGAUAUGUCAAUGAAUUUGUUUCCAUCUCGACAAAUCUCACGGAUCGAUGUGUCUAUAUUUCCUCUGAUGGGGGAAGGCUGUGCAGG
rnacentral:lncRNA from 1 species